rnacentral:lncRNA from 1 species
GAAACAAGUGUGGAAAGAACUGCAUGGAUGUCCCAGUCAUGUGAGUUUUAGAGCCACCAAUCAUUAUCAAGAAAAGAAUGAAACUCAACGCCUGACAAGAAGAUGUGCUCUGAAGCAGCAUAAUAUUCAAUUUAUUUCCAAGGCUACUGAUUUAGGAAGAAAAAGGAGAAUAAGUGGAAUAAUUAAUUUCCUACCUUGAAGGUAAGAUUGCUUCAAAGUUACAGUGAGUAUAUGUGUAUGGGGGUGGGAAACUGUGUCUCUUAGGCAUUUAUUCUGCGUUGCAAUAAAAAAAAACAAUAUUUAUAACAAAAAUCUAAUCUUAAAUGGGCCCAGUUUGGCUUAAGCAAUUGGAACUCACAGGACACAUUUUUAUUCUCUAAGAAGCAAGUAGAAACUUGAAAAAUAUGCAGCCUGUCAUGAAAAGGGAGGGGUGAACUUUGCCCAAGUCUACAGCCAAACCUGAAGUCAGAACCUUUAAGAACAUGUUUCUUUUUUCUAUUUUUACUUUCUGUGUAUCCAGUGUCAUUGGGAUCUACCUCUGGGCAGAAACUGAGAAGUUGGUCUAUGCAAAGGAAACCUAUUCUUAGACUGUCUCUGGCUUUAUUGAAAGCAACUUUUAAAAUGCAAGAGCA